GGGGGUUCGGUGCCUUGCUAAAGAUCACCUUGGCAGUGCCCAGGAGGUGAACUGGCACCUCUCCAGCUACCAGUCCACCUUCCAUACUUUGGUCCAUGCUGGAUUUGAACCAGCCACCCUCCGGUUCCCAAGCCAAAUCCCUACAGACUGAACUACUGCUGCCCCCAGACAUGAUGAGGGAAAAUAUUGUGUUUUCUUCCAACUUUACAAGAAGCCCAGCUGUCUGAAAAAGUAAAGAAAAA